rnacentral:rRNA from 1 species
UACGUAGGCAGCAAGCGUUGUUCGGAGUUACUGGGCGUAAAGGGCGUGUAGGUGGUUUUGUAAGUCUGGCGUGAAAUUUCUCGGCUUAACCGAGGCAGGUCGUCGGAUACUAUAAGACUAGAGGACGGUAGAGGCGUGUGGAAUUCCGGGUGUAGUGGUGAAAUGCGUAGAGAUCCGGAGGAACACCAGUGGCGAAGGCGACACGCUGGGCCGUACCUGACACUGAUGCGCGACAGCAUGGGGAGCAAACAGG